rnacentral:rRNA from 1 species
GUGAACGCUGGCGGCGUGCCUAACACAUGCAAGUCGAGCGAAGCGGCAGCUGUAGCAAUACAGUAUGUGCUUAGGCGGCAGACGGGUGAGUAACACGUAGACAACUUCCCUUCCAGAGGGGGGAUAGCCCGCCGAAAGGCGGGGUAAUACCGCGUACGAUCCCUUGGUGGCAUCACCGAGGGAUGGAACAUCCGCAAGGAUGGCUGGAAGACGGGUCUGCGGCCUAUCAGCUAGUUGGUGAGGGUAACGGCUCACCAAGGCUACGACGGGUAUCCGGCCUGAAAGGGCGAACGGACACACUGACACUGAGACACGGGUCAGACUCCUACGGGAGGCAGCAGUGAGGAAUUUUGGACAAUGGGGGCAACCCUGAUCCAGCGACGCCGCGUGAAGGAUGAAGGUCUUCGAUUGUAAACUUCUUUUAUUCGGGAAUAACAAAUCCAUGGAAACAUGGGGACUGAAUGUACCGAAUGAAUAAGCCACGGCUAACUUCGUGCCAGCAGCCGCGGUAAUACGAAGGUGGCAAGCGUUACUCGGAAUUACUAGGCGUAAAGGGCAGGUAGGUGGUUUGAUAAGUCUGUUGUGGAAGCUCCCGGCUCAACUGGGAGAGGUCAACAGAUACUAUCAGGCUUGAGUAUAGGAGAGGGUACUGGAAUUCCCGGUGUAGCGGUGAAAUGCGCAGAGAUCGGGAGGAACACCAACGGCGAAGGCAGGUACCUGGACUAUUACUGACACUCAGCUGCGAAAGCUAGGGGAGCAAACAGGAUUAGAUACCCUGGUAGUCCUAGCCGUAAACGACUGCACAUUAGGCGUGAGGGGUAUCGACCCCCUUCGUGCCGACGCAAACGCAUUAAAUGUGCCGCCUGGGGAGUACGGCCGCAAGGUUGAAACUCAAAGGAAUUGACGGGGGCCCGCACAAGCGGUGGAGCAUGUGGUUUAAUUCGACGCAACGCGAAGAACCUUACCUAGGGCUUGACAUGCAGAGGAAAGCCGGUGAGAAACCAUCGGCCCUCCUUCGGACGUCGUGCACAGGUGCUGCAUGGCUUGCCGUCAGCUCGUGUCGUGAGAUGUUGGGUUAAGUCCCGCAACGAGCGCAACCCCUGUUCCCUAGUUACCUAGCGGGUUCAUGCCGGGCACUCUAGGGAGACUGCCGGUGUCAAACCGGAGGAAGGUAGGGGACGACGUCAAGUCAUCAUGGCCCUUACGUCUAGGGCGACACACGUGCUACAAUGGCCGGUACAGAGCGUCUGCAAGCGCAAGUGAGUGCAGCCUAAUCGCCUGAAAGCCGGUCUCAGUUCGGAUUGUGGGCUGCAACUCGCCUCACAUGAAGCUGGAAUCGCUAGUAAUCGUGGAUCAGCCAUGCCACGGUGAAUACGUUCCCGGGCCUUGUACACACCGCCCGUCACGCCAUGGAAGCUGGGAGCGACCUAAGUCCGUGUCAGAACCCGCAAGGGACUAAGCGGCCGAAGGCGAGCGCAGUGACUGGGGCG